CCUUACACAUGCAAGAUCGUAGCGGAAGAAGAUUUCCUGUGGCAACACAGGGGAGCUCUUCUUAGCGGCAAACGGGUGAGCUAAUGGAUGAGUAACCUACCCUGUAGACGGGGAUAGCCAUCCGAAAGGAUGGGUAAUACCCGAUAAUGUUGGAGAACUUCGGUUCUCUAAAGAAAGGUGGCGCAGGCUACCGCUUCAGGAUGGGCUCAUCUCCUAUCAGCUAGUUGGUGAGGUAACGGCUCACCAAGGCUAUGACGGGUAGCUGGCCUGAGAGGGUGGUCAGCCACAUUGGGACUGAGACACGGCCCAGACUCCUACGGGAGGCAGCAGUGGGGAAUCUUGGUCAAUGGGCGAAAGCCUGAACCAGCGACGCCGCGUGGAGGACGAAGGCCGAAAGGUCGUAAACUCCUUUUGCAAGGGAAAAAGGGAAGGGUUCGAAUAGGGCCCUAUCCUUGAUGGUACCUUGCGAAUAAGCCCCAGCCAACUACGUGCCAGCAGCUGCGGUAAAACGUAGGGGGCGAGCGUUAUCCGGAAUUACUGGGUGUAAAGGGUACGCAGGCGGACCUGUAAGUUGGAUGUAAAAACUCAGGGCUUAACCUUGAGCUUGCAUUCAAGACUACAGGUCUAGAGAGCAGGAGAGGGGAGUGGAAUUCCCGGUGUAGGGGUAAAAUCCGUAGAUAUCGGGAGGAACACCA
rnacentral:rRNA from 1 species